rnacentral:misc_RNA from 1 species
GUGGAAAGUCCGACUCUUAAGUUGGCAAGGACUAUAAAUUUAGACUUCAAAUCUGCACCCACCCCAGGGUUCUCAACUAAGCUUUGAUCCAAAACUAUUGAUGUCAGUUGUAUGAUUACUAGUCUUCCAUCAUGUUGAAGCUGGGUCCAUAUUAAUAGCUACAAUUACUAGCCUUCCAUUAUGUUGAAGCUGGGUACACAUUGAUAUUUGAUAGCGACAUGUUUAGAAAGCAGAUAUUUUCUUACAAGGUCAACCCAUUAUCUUUGUUCUAUUGCUUUCCCUUUUGUCCUAUAUACUUGAAGGUGGUCG